CGAGAGGGCCGGGCAGCCGCCGGUCGGACGCGGUGCGUCCGGCGGGAGGAAAGUCCGGGCGCCGCAGGGCAGGGUGGUGGGUAACUCCCACCGGCCGCAAGGCCAGGGCAAGUGCAACAGAAAGCAAACCGCCUGCGGGGGUGUUAGGUUUUAGUCGUUAGGUCUUAGGACGGACGUGUUUGAGCGAUUCUCUGCUGGUCUUUCCCAACGCCUAGUACCUAAGACCUAACACCUCCGCAGGUAAGGGUGAAACGGUGCGGUAAGAGCGCACCAGCGGUCGGGGCGACCCGAUCGGCUAGGUAAACCCCACCCGGCGCAAGGCCAAACAGGGAGCACGAGCCGGCUCGGCUCGCUACGACUCCCGGGUAGGCUGCUUGAGGCGGUGGGCAACCACCGUCCUAGAGGAAUGGCUGCCGCCGCCUCCUUCGGGAAGCGGACACAAAACCCGGCUUACAGGCCCUCUCGAAGG
rnacentral:RNase_P_RNA from 1 species